rnacentral:lncRNA from 1 species
GUAAAACAGAGAGAGCUUAAAGAGAGAAAGACAAAGACUGAAACUUGUAAUCUUAUUGCUCAAAGGUUUUAGGUUACAAAGCUAAUGUAUUUAAAGACUGUAAAGAAGGAUCUAGACACAGGCCAGCCAGCUGUCUUCUUAGGAACCAUCAACGGUCAAGAGAGCAUAUCGGUUGUGCAGCUGCAAUCUCUGCCUCUCCGUACUCUUUGAGCUGCAUCUUUGAAUACGGUUUGUUGCAGAGACAGCUACUGCUUCUUUGUCUCUAUUCACCAUUUGAAUGGGCUUCGUAGUGGGCUUCGUCUUAUGGCAUUGGGCUGCCAUAACCCUCUGUUUCUGAGCUACGUUAAUAGCCCCUCGCAAACUCGUGGUGGGGGAAGGAACCACACCGAGUUUGAAUCGCAGCGAGAAGUAAGCUGCUUGUGGUAACGACUUUGUGAAAAUGCCAUAAGCCUCUGUUUCUGAGCUACGUUAAUAUAUAACCCUUGUUUCUUUUCCAUAACCCGUCAUUUUCGUCUGUAGAAAACACAGAGGUUCAUUAUGAAAAAUGAUCCAAAUAAGCUCGUCCCUUUUUAAAACAGUCGCACAACGCC